CGGAGGGUGCGAGCGUUGUCCGGAAUCACUGGGCGUAAAGGGCGCGUAGGCGGUCUGCUAAGCGUGUGGUGAAAGCUCGGGGCUCAACCCCGAGUCUGCCAUGCGAACUGGUGGACUUGAGCACUGUAGAGGCAGGUGGAAUUCCGGGUGUAGCGGUGGAAUGCGUAGAGAUCCGGAAGAACACCAGUGGCGAAGGCGGCCUGCUGGGCAGUUGCUGACGCUGAGGCGCGACAGCGUGGGAGCAAACAGGAUU
rnacentral:rRNA from 1 species